rnacentral:rRNA from 1 species
UACAGAGGGUGCGAGCGUUAAUCGGAAUUACUGGGCGUAAAGCGUGCGUAGACGGUUAUCUAAGUCGGAUGUGAAAGCCCCGGGCUCAACCUGGGAAUUGCAUUCGAGACUGAAUAGCUAGGGUGCGGUAGAGGGAAGCGGAAUUUCCGGUGUAGCGGUGAAAUGCGUAGAUAUGCGGAGGAACACCGAUGGCGAAGGCAAUCCCCUGGGCCUGCACUGACGCUCAUGCACGAAAGCGUGGGGAGCAAACAGG